rnacentral:rRNA from 1 species
GACGAACGCUGGCGGCGUGCCUAAUACAUGCAAGUAGAACGCUGAAGAGAGGAGCUUGCUCUUCUUGGAUGAGUUGCGAACGGGUGAGUAACGCGUAGGUAACCUGCCUUGUAGCGGGGGAUAACUAUUGGAAACGAUAGCUAAUACCGCAUAACAAUGGAUGACACAUGUCAUUUAUUUGAAAGGGGCAAUUGCUCCACUACAAGAUGGACCUGCGUUGUAUUAGCUAGUAGGUGAGGUAACGGCUCACCUAGGCGACGAUACAUAGCCGACCUGAGAGGGUGAUCGGCCACACUGGGACUGGGACACGGCCCAGACUCCUACGGGAGGCAGCAGGAGGGAAUCUUCGGCAAUGGGGGGCAACCCUGACCGAGCAACGCCGCGUGAGUGAAGAAGGUUUUCGGAUCGUAAAGCUCUGUUGUAAGUCAAGAACGAGUGUGAGAGUGGAAAGUUCACACUGUGACGGUAGCUUACCAGAAAGGGACGGCUAACUACGUG